rnacentral:rRNA from 1 species
GAUGAACGCUGGCGGCGUGCUUAACACAUGCAAGUCGAACGGUGAAGCCAAGCUUACUUGGUGGAUCAGUGGCGAACGGGUGAGUAACACGUGAGCAACCUGCCCUGGACUCUGGGAUAAGCGCUGGAAACGGUGUCUAAUACUGGAUAUGAACUCCUUCCGCAUGGUGGGGGUUGGAAAGAUUUUUCGGUCUGGGAUGGGCUCGCGGCCUAUCAGCUUGUUGGUGAGGUAAUGGCUCACCAAGGCGUCGACGGGUAGCCGGCCUGAGAGGGUGACCGGCCACACGGGGACUGAGACACGGCCCAGACUCCUACGGGAGGCAGCAGUGGGGAAUAUUGCACAAUGGGCGGAAGCCUGAUGCAGCAACGCCGCGUGAGGGAUGACGGCCUUCGGGUUGUAAACCUCUUUUAGCAGGGAAGAAGCUUUUGUGACGGUACCUGCAGAAAAAGCGCCGGCUAACUACGUGCCAGCCGCCGCCGUAA